CGGACAUAUAAAGUUGAAACACCAGGUCUCGUGCGACCGCCCAAAUUAAACAAUGUUGAGCCUAGUUACUACCUAGAUGGCUGGCCGCUUGGGAAUACCAGGUACUGUAA